rnacentral:tRNA from 1 species
GGAGGGGACAGCCCAGUGGUCAAGCACGUGCUUAGCAUGCACGAGCUCCUGGGUUCAAUCCCCAGUGCCUCCA